rnacentral:rRNA from 3 species
CCGCGGCCUAUCAGCUUGUUGGUGGGGUGAUGGCCUACCAAGGCGGUGACGGGUAGCCGGCCUGAGAGGGCGACCGGCCACRCUGGGACUGAGACACGGCCCAGACUCCUACGGGAGGCAGCAGUGGGGAAUAUUGCGCAAUGGGCGGAAGCCUGACGCAGCGACGCCGCGUGGGGGAUGACGGCCUUCGGGUUGUAAACCUCUUUCGCCAGGGACGAAGAGUGAUUGACGGUACCUGGAGAAGAAGCACCGGCCAACUACGUGCCAGCAGCCGCGGUAACACGUAGGGUGCGAGCGUUGUCCGGAAUUAUUGGGCGUAAAGAGCUCGUAGGCGGUGUGUCGCGUCGGCCGUGAAAACUUGGGGCUUAACUCUGAGCGUGCGGUCGAUACGGGCAUCACUUGAGUUCGGCAGGGGAGACUGGAAUUCCUGGUGUAGCGGUGAAAUGCGCAGAUAUCAGGAGGAACACCGGUGGCGAAGGCGGGUCUCUGGGCCGAUACUGACGCUGAGGAGCGAAAGCGUGGGGAGCGAACAGGAUUAGAUACCCUGGUAGUCCACGCCGUAAACGUUGGGCGCUAGGUGUGGGGACCAUUCCACG